GUAGGUGGCAAGCGUUGUCCGGAAUUAUUGGGCGUAAAGCGCGCGCAGGCGGUUCUUUAAGUCUGAUGUGAAAGCCCACGGCUCAACCGUGGAGGGUCAUUGGAAACUGGAGAACUGGAGUACAGAAGAGGAAAGCGGAAUUCCACGUGUAGCGGUGAAAUGCGUAGAGAUGUGGAGGAACACCAGUGGCGAAGGCGGCUUUCUGGUCUGUAACUGACGCUGAGGCGCGAAAGCGUGGGGAGCAAACAGGAUUAGAUACCCUGGUAGUCCACGCCGUAAACGAUGAGUGCUAAGUGUUAGGGGGUUUCCGCCCCCCUUAGUGCUGCAGCUAACGCAUUAAGCACUCCGCCCUGGGAGUACGGCCGCAAGGCUG
rnacentral:rRNA from 1 species